rnacentral:rRNA from 1 species
GCUAACUCCGUGUCAGCAGCCGGGGUAAGACGGAGGGUGCAAGCGUUAAUCGGAAUUACUGGGCGUAAAGGGCACGCAGGCGUUCUGUGAAGUCGGAUGUGAAAUCCCCGGGCUCAACCUGGGAACUGCAUUCGAAACUGGCAGGCUAGAGUGUUGUAGAGGGGGGUAGAAUUCCAGGUGUAGCGGUGAAAUGCGUAGAGAUCUGGAGGAAUACCGGUGGCGAAGGCGGCCCCCUGGACAAAGACUGACGCUCAGGUGCGAAAGCGUGGGGAGCAAACAGGAUUAGAUACCCCAGUAGUC